AUUGAACGCUGGCGACAUGCCUUACACAUGCAAGUCGAACGGCAGCACGGGUGCUUGCACCUGGUGGCGAGUGGCGAACGGGUGAGUAAUACAUCGGAACAUGUCCUGUAGUGGGGGAUAGCCCGGCGAAAGCCGGAUUAAUACCGCAUACGAUCUACGGAUGAAAGCGGGGGACCUUCGGGCCUCGCGCUAUAGGGUUGGCCGAUGGCUGAUUAGCUAGUUGGUGGGGUAAAGGCCUACCAAGGCGACGAUCAGUAGCUGGUCUGAGAGGACGACCAGCCACACUGGGACUGAGACACGGCCCAGACUCCUACGGGAGGCAGCAGUGGGGAAUUUUGGACAAUGGGCGAAAGCCUGAUCCAGCAAUGCCGCGUGUGUGAAGAAGGCCUUCGGGUUGUAAAGCACUUUUGUCCGGAAAGAAAUCCUUGGCCCUAAUACGGUCGGGGGAUGACGGUACCGGAAGAAAAAGCACCGGCUAACUACGUG
rnacentral:rRNA from 1 species